rnacentral:tRNA from 1 species
CGGGUUAUAGCUCAGCUUGGUAGAGCACUACACUGGGGGUGUAGGGGUCAUCGGUUCGAAUCCGGUUAACCCGACCA